rnacentral:rRNA from 1 species
UGGGGGAUAUUGCACAAUGGGCGAAAGCCUGAUGCAGCGACGCCGCGUGGGGGAUGAAGGCCUUCGGGUUGUAAACUUCUUUUGCUCUGAACAAGGCAUGCUAAUGGGUGUGUUGAGUGUAGGGGUUGAUUAGCGCCGGCUAACUACGUGCCAGCAGCCGCGGUAAUACCUAGGGCGCGAGCGUUGUCCGGAAUUAUUGGGCGUAAAGGGCUUGUAGGUGGCUGGUUGCGUCUGUCGUGAAAGCUCAUGGCUUAACUGUGGGUUUGCGGUGGGUACGGGCUGGCUGGAGUGCAGUAGGGGAGGCUGGAAUUCCUGGUGUAGCGGUGGAAUGCGCAGAUAUCAGGAGGAAUACCGGUGGCGAAGGCGGGUCUCUGGGCUGUUACUGACACUGAGGAGCGAAAGCAUGGGGAGCGAACAGG